UUCCACACCGCCCAGUCUUUCAUCAUGUUCCAGAGAGAGCUGGAAAAGUCUCCUGAAUAACUAGGGGGCAAGUGGGGGAAUGGGGUGCUGGAAAAGUCAUCCUGGUCAAGCUGCAAACCCAACCGACUGUUCCAGGAUAGAAGAGGGGUGAUAGCAGGUGACUCCCCACUGCUCAUCCCCGGGCUGCGGCGCCCGAUUGAGGCCGAGGCAGGGGAUCGCACUGAUGUUUCAAACUGGGCAAUGAAGUGGAACGCGGAAGAUUUCUGAUCUGGAGAGAUCUGCAAAAUAUCUUCAGUGAAAAAACAAGGUGCCAAACUGUAAAAUGGUGUGCUCUUUUAGGGACAGUGGAAGAGACAUGAAAACAGGUGGACAGAUGUCUACAUGUGAAUUCGUUUGUGUUUGUGAAAGCACACUAGGAGGAUGGGCUCGAAAUUAAUUAAAUGUUUAUCUUUAGGAAGAGAACCUGGCGGAAUAGGAUGGAAGAAAGAUUUCUCUGAAUAGACCUUACUAUCUGAUUUUGACUUUGGAAAGGGACUCACUCACUUGGACUUUUCAGCAGAGCUGGAACUGUGAGGACUUUGCCAACUACUAGUGAUGGACUAUAAUGCAUUACGCAUAAUCAGACAUACACAAGAAUUUUGGGAGCCAGGGGUGGAAGGUUUAUAUCUAAAUGUCCCCCAGAGCCUCAUGCAAUCUGAUGUGGGACCUUUGGAAGAUGUCUGGAUGAUGUGAAUGGCACAGCUGCUUGCUGUUGGGACACGGGGCUGGGCUGAAAGAGGCAGCCCUGGGGGCCUGGCCUGGAAGGGUGCAUCUCUCGCCUUGGCUCCCCCAAUGAUCUUUCUCUGCUUCUUGGCUGCCAUGAGGUGAGCAGCUUUUCCUCCACCAGGCUUCUCUUCUAUGCCACCCUGCCUCGGAGCCAACUGAACAUGGACUGAAACAUGAGCCAAAAUAAAUCUCCCCCUUCUUUUAAA